UACAGAGGUCCCAAGCGUUGUUCGGAUUCAUUGGGCGUAAAGGGUGUGUAGGUGGCGCGCUAAGUCGGGUGUGAAAUUUCGGAGCUUAACUCCGAAACUGCAUUCGAUACUGCGUGCUUGAGGACUGGAGAGGAGACUGGAAUUUACGGUGUAGCGGUGAAAUGCGUAGAUAUCGUAAGGAAGACCAGUGGCGAAGGCGGGUCUCUGGACAGUUCCUGACGCUGAGGCACGAAGGUCAGGGGAGCAAACGGG
rnacentral:rRNA from 1 species